UACCUUCACCAUCAUGUUCACUAAGACCGUCCUCGCUCUCGCCCUUGUGGCCGUAACUUUGGCUGUUCCUUCACAGCCUUCCUACGGAUAUACUCCUCCUGCAACCUACGACGCUCCUGCAAGUAUGACUUCAAUUAU